AAUGUUCCAUGAGCACUUGAGAAGAAUGUGUAUUCUGUUGUUUUUGGAUGGAAUGUCCUGUAAAUAUCAGUAUUUGUCAUUAUCUGUGGAUUCACUGUGGAGCUCCCUGAAGUCCUUAUAGGACCCGGACCUUCUGAACCU